rnacentral:rRNA from 1 species
CAGUAGCCGCGGUAAUACGAAGGGUGCAAGCGUUAAUCGGAAUUACUGGGCGUAAAGCGUGCGUAGGCGGUGAGUUAAGUCUGCUGUGAAAUCCCCGGGCUCAACCUGGGAAUGGCAGUGGAUACUGGCUCGCUAGAGUGUGUCAGAGGAUGGUGGAAUUCCCGGUGUAGCGGUGAAAUGCGUAGAGAUCGGGAGGAACAUCAGUGGCGAAGGCGGCCAUCUGGGACAACACUGACGCUGAGGCACGAAAGCGUGGGGAGCAAACAGGAUUAGAUACCCGGGUAGUCCCUGUCUCUUAUAC